AGUGAACGCUGGCGGUAGGCCUAACACAUGCAAGUCGAACGGCAGCACAGUAAGAGCUUGCUCUUACGGGUGGCGAGUGGCGUACGGGUGAGGAAUACAUCGGAAUCUACUUUUUCGUGGGGGAUAACGUAGGGAAACUUACGCUAAUACCGCAUACGACCUACCGUUGAAAGCAUUGGAUCUUCUGACCUGUCGCGAUUGAAUGAGCCGAUGUCGGAUUAGCUAGUUGGCGGGGUAAAGGCCCACCAAGUCGACGAUCCGUAGCUGGUCUGAGAGGAUGAUCAGCGACACUGGAACUGAGACACGGUCCAGACUCCUACGGGAGGCAGCAGUGGGGAAUAUUGGACAAUGGGCGCAAGCCUGAUACAGCCAUACCGCGUGGGUGAAGAAGGCCUUCGGGUUGUAAAGCCCUUUUGUUGGGAAAGAAAAGCAGCAGGUUAAUACCCCGCUGUUCUGACGGUACCCAAAGAAUAAGCACCGGCUAACUUCGUG
rnacentral:rRNA from 1 species